ACACUCCUACGGGAGGCAGCAGUGGGGAAUAUUGCACAAUGGGCGCAAGCCUGAUGCAGCCAUGCCGCGUGUAUGAAGAAGGCCUUCGGGUUGUAAAGUACUUUCAGCGGGGAGGAAGGCGAUAAGGUUAAUAACCUUGUUGAUUGACGUUACCCGCAGAAGAAGUACCGGCUAACUCCGUGCCAGCAGACGCGGUAAUACGGAGGGUGCAAGCGUUAAUCGGAAUUACUGGGCGUAAAGCGCACGCAGGCGGUCUGUCAAGUCGGAUGUGAAAUCCCCGGGCUCAACCUGGGAACUGCAUUCGAAACUGGCAGGCUAGAGUCUUGUAGAGGGUGGUAGAAUUCCAGGUGUAGCGGUGAAAUGCGUAGAGAUCUGGAGGAAUACCGGUGGCGAAGGCGGCCCCCUGGACAAAGACUGACGCUCAGGUGCGAAAGCGUGGGGAGCAAACAGGAUUAGAUACCCUGGUAGUCCCAUGA
rnacentral:rRNA from 1 species